rnacentral:tRNA from 1 species
AGCGAGAUGGCCGAGUGGUUAAGGUGUUGGAAUUAAGUCCCAAUGGAAGCAAGCCCUCGUGGGUUCGAACCCCACUCGCGCUA